rnacentral:misc_RNA from 1 species
CCAUGCUUGGCAGCGUCUGCGUGCAGUGCUCGCAGUUUUCGGUCCAGGGGCGUGUUCCAGGACGCUCCUGUUGCCUGUGUUGUGUGUUGUGUGUGUGUGUGUGUGUGUGUGUGUGUGUGUGUUUGAAUGGGUUGCCCACAUGUGCCUCGACAAGUGGGACGCUGCCAUGAGCCUGUGGCGGCACGGGGCACUCCACUCUCUCCUACAUCCGCACGCCUCUAGCAGAAGGGGGGGGGGGGGUUGGCAAGCGGAAGGGGGCCGUGCGGAGGCAUGUGCCUGCGCACAGAAAACUCACAGCUUAUCGAUCUGAUGGGGGCAUAGAGGGGCAGCCAAAGAGACCCGACAGGGAAUCCUACGCAGCGCGGGCGGGAUGGGCGUAUUCAGGUUACUUAAUGCAACGCCACAGUGUAGAGCGAGGUGUGCCUUGAGCUUCGAAGGGCCCGAGAACCUCGUGUAGCAUACCGGACACAGCGCAAGCUUGAACGCCCUCACAACAAGCACAGGCAGGGGCGGCGGCUCUGGCGGGCGCGUGGGAGCACACCACAGUGCCAGCGCCCUAGUAGGCAGCUCACCAUCUGCACUACAUGCGGUCGCUGCCAGUUACCUGUUGCUGCGGAAGUUCAAAGUACGGAUAGGUGCCCCUGUGGGGCUGGGCGAGGAUGAUCUCCUGCAGUCUCGUAAGCGCAGCAUCGUUGCCCUUGUGUUGGAAUGCUGCCGCCGAAUAACUGGCAUGAUCUGUAGUGACCCGCUCCAAGCGCCACCAUGCCCGCGAGCCUAUUCGGCACACCGCCAGGCCCCGCCCUGUCUGCGGACACCAAAUGUCGGCAACCGUGCCGGAGGGCGGGCUGCAGGCUACUUGGUCUCCCCACAAAAAAAGAAGGAAUGCUGGGCCCCUGUGUGAUGCCACGCACGGAAGGGACCGGCACGGCCACUGGUGGAAAUAGAAAGACUAUAGAUAUGUAUGAAGCAGCGGAGCGCGGCGGGCGGGAGUCGUCUCUCUGUUACGCACACACACACACACACACACACACACACACACACACACACACACGAAACAAGGACGUGUCUCUGCGUCCUUGCGUACUGCACGUUCGCUCUGAUGCUGCUCGUUUUAGUUCUCCUCUGUUUUGCGUUUCUCUGUCAAGGACGUCGCAAAACGUCGGCGCAAAUACCCAUGCACGCGAUGGCGCCACAGUGUGCCUGAGGUUGCGCGGAGCCACUACUCGAUGACGGGGUCGUGUGUGUGUGUGUGAAGGAGGGGGUGUGUAUGUGCACAUCGAUGUAUACGCGUAUGUUUGUGUGCAUUUACAUGUAUCUGUAUAUGUGAGCGUGUAUACGUGGGUGCCUGUGUGGUUUUCGCUUCGCUCUUUCCUCCGUUUCUGUUUUUGUUGGCCUGUACCUUUAUGUAUCUCCCCUUCGGCGCCUCAACUUUCGUUCCACAGAGGGGCGGCGCUGCGCCAGCGUUUCUCUCUGCCCCGUCUGAAGUCUUCGACUCGUCGUCCCGGCAGCAUAUCGUCUUUCUCCCAUCGAUACCGCAGCUUCGGUCUCAAGGGAGGGGCAGCAGCCUGUUUCGAUGAGGCGGCGGUGAGCCAUGCAUGCCUUCGGGGCCCUCCCCCUUACACCGUCUCUCCGGUCGUUUCACCGCCACUUUCGCCACACGCGCGCAUCCACUGAGCCUCUGCUUGUUUCCCUAUGCAACACUGGAGAUGUGAGCAACGGAGGCGAGGCACGAGCUCCCUUUCUACGCCGCUCUCCAUUGGGGGAGGAGAGAUAAGGAGCGGAACGCCACAUAUGGAGAGCGUUACCGAGAGAGCGCCCACACACACACGCAUAAACAUCUUUUUUUAUCCUCGUGAGUCGGCAUCUUGGCCGAAGGCAACGGACAAAUCUAUAAGCCCCAUGCACGGCAACUUAAAUGCACCGAACU